rnacentral:rRNA from 1 species
UAGGGAAUCUUCGGCAAUGGACGAAAGUCUGACCGAGCAACGCCGCGUGAGUGAAGAAGGUUUUCGGAUCGUAAAACUCUGUUGUUAGAGAAGAACAAGGACGUUAGUAACUGAACGUCCCCUGACGGUAUCUAACCAGAAAGCCACGGCUAACUACGUGCCAGCAGCCGCGGUAAUACGGAGGUGGCAAGCGUUGUCCGGAUUUAUUGGGCGUAAAGCGAGCGCAGGCGGUUUCUUAAGUCUGAUGUGAAAGCCCCCGGCUCAACCGGGGAGGGUCAUUGGAAACUGGGAGACUUGAGUGCAGAAGAGGAGAGUGGAAUUCCAUGUGUAGCGGUGAAAUGCGUAGAUAUAUGGAGGAACACCAGUAGCGAAGGCGGCUCUCUGGUCUGUAACUGACGCUGAGGCUCGAAAGCGUGGGGAGCAAACAGG